rnacentral:rRNA from 1 species
UAGGGAAUCUUCGGCAAUGGACGAAAGACUGACCGAGCAACGCCGCGUGAGUGAAGAAGGAUUUCGGAUCGUAAAAAUCUGUUGUUAGAGAAGAACAAGGACGUUAGUAACUGAACGUCCUCUGACGGUAUCUAACCAGAAAGCCACGGCUAACUACGUGCCAGCAGCCGCGGUAAUACGUAGGUGGCAAGCGUUGUCCGGAUUUAUUGGGCGUAAAGCGAGCGCAGGCGGUUUCUUAAGUCUGAUGUGAAAGCCCCCGGCUCAACCGGGGAGGGUCAUUGGUAACUGGGAGACUUGAGGGCAGAAGAGGAGAGUGGAAUUCCAUGUGUAGCAGUGAAAUGCGUAGAUAUAUGGAUGAACACCAGUGGCGAAGGCGGCUCUCUGGUCUGUAACUGACGCUGAGGCUCGAAAGCGUGGGGAGCAAACAGG